AACGCGCAGUGUUUCCGGAAAAGUGGCCGUCGGUUUUCUGACCAAUUAAGCAAACUUUUCUCCAUUUCAAAAUUUAAAAAACUGUAUUUUUGCGAUUUCGUAACUGAAUUCAGGACACUUGCACCAUUAGGGAGGCUUCAGAGAUCUGUCCACCUGUUUAGGACUCAAGGUUGAAGUUUGUUCUGCCAGGUAAUGGACGUAGUUCGGAUUCUGCAGUAUGUCAUCCUCUUUGAUGCUGAUGAAGACUUCACACCAUGUUGGCAGUUCUAACAGAUCAAGCUGCAGCUGCCAUGACGAUACAACAAGGCAGAAGUUUCCACUGUGUAGGUGGAUGCGUGGGAGGCAGGCGGAGGAGGGGUUUCCUCUGAGGUUGGCAUCCCCGAACACAGAAAAAAGCACAGAGAAAAGAAAAGGACUUCCCCGGGCACGGUUGAAGUGCGGAGCUGCACUGCUGGCGUCACACUCACGAGACACCUGCGUUGUUGGUUUACACUAGAUUCACUCUCUGAUAAACUUUUUGUCAUGCUGCAGCCAGGUGCAUAGUGCCACUGUGAGUGUGUGUGUGCCUGUGUGUGUUACCACAUCACUCACACAUACUAGUCUGUGGGAAGACAAACACUGAACAAAACACAAGACACUCCUGAGGAAAUGCACAUGAAAAGGACACAUGUAGACACUUCCACACACGCAGUCACACACUGUUAGUUCUCCCUCGUCAAAUCUUUAUCUCAUUUGUCUCAUAGGCUUUAUUUAACAUUUAUUAUCUUAUUCGUUAUCUUGUAGUGUUUCAGCUGCACUUUCUGCUCUGACUAACUGAACACUGCUGUUUACUGUGUGUGAGUGAAGCAUGU
ensembl:lncRNA